rnacentral:rRNA from 1 species
UACGUAGGCAGCGAGCGUUGUUCGGAGUUACUGGGCGUAAAGCGUGCGUAGGCGGUGUCUUAAGUUUGUUGUGAAAUCUCCCGGCUUAACCGGGAGGGUGCGGCGAAUACUGAGAUGCUGGAGUGCCGGAGAGGUAAGCGGAAUUCCUGGUGUAGCGGUGAAAUGCGCAGAUAUCAGGAAGAACACCCGUGGCGAAGGCGGCUCUCUGGGACGGUACUGACGCUGAGACGCGAAAGCGUGGGGAGCGAACAGG